rnacentral:rRNA from 1 species
CCAAUAGCGUAUAUUAAAGUUGUUGCAGUUAAAAAGCUCGUAGUUGAAUUUCGGGGUCAGUAGGUUGGUCAUGCCACUGGUAUGUACUGGUCUCACUGAUUCCUCCUUCCUGAUGAGCCGUAAUGCCAUUAAUUUGGUGUUGCGAGGAAUCUGGACUGUUACUUUGAAAAAAUUAGAGUGUUUAAAGCAGGCUAACGCUUGAAUACAUUAGCAUGGAAUAAUGAAAUAGGACGUUCGAUCUUAUUUUGUUGGUUUCUAAGAUUGACGUAAUGAUUAAUAGGGAUAGUUGGGGGCAUUAGUAUUCAAUUGUCAGAGGUAAAAUUCUUGGAUUUAUUGAAGACUAACUACUGCGAAAGCAUUUGCCAAGGAUGUUUUCAUUAAUCAAGAACGAAAGUUAGGGGAUCGAAGACGAUCAGAUACCGUCGUAGUCUUAACCAUAAACUAUGCCGACUAGGGAUCGGAUGAUGUUAAUUUUUUAAUGACUCAUUCGGCGCCUUACG